UACGUAGGUCGCGAGCGUUGUCCGGAUUCACUGGGUGUAAAGGGCGUGUAGGCGGUCACGUGUGUCUGACGUGAAAGCUCCGGGCUCAACUCUGAGAGUGCGUGGGAGACUGCUUGGCUGGAGGACGGUAGAGGGAAGUGGAAUUCCCGGUGUAGCGGUAAAAUGCGUAGAUAUCGGGAGGAACACCAGUGGCGAAGGCGGCUUCCUGGGCCUUUCCUGACGCUGAGACGCGAAAGCCAGGGGAGCGAACCGG
rnacentral:rRNA from 1 species